CCUAUUGAACUUCAUUCAAACUUUAGGCCAAAAAUAAUUGAAUUUUAAAUCCUAAUAAAAUCCUAAACCCUAAAUUAAACUCCAACCAAAUCCUUAACCAAAUCCUAAGCAAACCUUAAAUCAAAUCCUAAAUCCUAAAUGAAACCCUAACCAAAUCCUAAUCCAAAUCCUAAACCCUAAAUCCUAAAUCAAAUCCUAAUUCAAACCCUAAAUCCUAAAUCAAAUCCUAAUCAAAUCUUAAAUCCUAAAUCAAAUCCUAUCCAAAUCCUAAAUCCUAAAUUAAAUCCUAAUUCAAAUCUUAAAUCCUAAAUCAAACCCUAACCAAACCCUAAUCCAAAUCCUAAACCAAAUACUAGUAAUUCCUAGAACAGAUUAAAACCUCAAUGACUAAUAAAUCAACCAUUGAUCUUAACUCAAAUUUUGUAAACUUCUAAAAAAAUAAGUUAAAAACAAGUACAAAAAAAUUGAAAAGGAUCGGAGUUACCAAAUUGACGAUAACCUCAAAAAUGUGCUCGGAUAUUGGCCGGCCUCCUUCUCCAAUCUUCAUGCCAAUCUUCUAGAGCCAAUAUUUCUUAUUAACACCAUUCGAUUGAUUUCAAAAUUCUCAUACACAUAGAAAAACAAGUCUAAUAUCCUCUCACGCAAGUUUCACUCCAAUCCAACCUAUAAAUUACAAGAAAACUUAAAAACCCCCACUAGACCUAAAAUUCUACUUUCUGAGACCUUGAUCCAUUUAAACCUCAAUAUUCCUCAAUUCAACCGUUAGAUCAAGCUCAAAUUUACGACACAUAUUAAACACAACUAUAACCAUGAACCUACAAAAUUUCACUUAUAGAUCUCUUACAAAACUCUUGAAAUCACUCAAAACAUAAAUCUUAUUUUAUUUCAUAAAACCCAAAUCAUCCGAAAUAAACCUUGACUUUGCAAAGCUCUUACAAAGUCAUAACAACUCCAAAUCAUCCAAAAUUAACAUCUAUACAAACCUUAUUUAAUUUGCUAUCAAACCCCACUCUCCAAUCUGCCAAAGAGUCUUGGAGUUGUUGUCGAGACUCGGUUUUGUUCCCCAGGGUCUGAUUUUGAUGCUAGUUCAUAACCGGUCCUCUUCGGGUAUCAAUAUCUAAUUUAUCUAAGUAAUUUUUACUGGAAUUUACUCUUAAAUUUUUUUUUUAAGAUGUUUGUACUAUUUAUUUUUCUUAAUCUACCUUAUUUUGCCUUAUUUAUGGCCCUACAAAGUAAGUAGAAGUCAUCUUUCUAAAAAAGCAGCAUUGCUAUUAAAAGUUUUAUUACCUUCCUAUCUUUUAUCCAUAUUUUUCUACUUUUUCUUUUAACUUGGCUCUUCUAUAAUAAGAUCCAUGUUAUUAUCUUUCACUAUAUAGUCGUGUUACAACACGACAACGGCUUGGACACAUUCUACCUACUUUAUCGAAAUAUCUUGAGGACCUCAAUUUAUCCCUUCAAUUUUUCCUUGGCUUUGGAUCAGUCGAUCCCGAUUAUUGAAAUUGAAUAGAGCAUUACAUUGCUGAUAAGUAUGUCCCAAUUGCUUACUACUCCCACAUAUUGGCCCGUAAUUGUCAUUGGCUCUGGGAUUAAAAUAUUCACUAAUAUAAUGACAAAUUUGUCUACAACGGAAAUAAUGAAGUGGUCUUCUUAUACCCCCAUCAGGCAUAUUGGAUGUCUCCACUAGUAUAUACCUACUUGGCUUGUUCCAUGUAGGAUUAAAAAAUGAUUCUGGUCAUCUCAUUCGUACGGAGGGUACUUGGUUCAAUGACGCCAAUAGAGCAUAUGCUGUUGUUACGUUCGGUGGUACAACUUGCAACGGGAUGUCAUUAACUGGCCUCUAAAUAUUGGCACUAGAAUUAGCCACUGUUUCUAACAUCCAAGAUGACUAAAUAUUAAUAAAUCUUUUUCAUUUAUAUUUUCACCAUAUAGUCGUAUUACAAUACGAUACCAUAUCAAAAGCUUAAAUGAUAAGAUGGUAGUACAAUUCCUAAUUAUAGCUACUAACCAUAAGCACAAUUUGGAUUAUUUACAGAAUAGUUCAUUACCAAAGAUCAAUGGAGAAUUUAAAGAUUUUUACAAAAUAUUACUAUAGAGUGGAAAUGUAGUGAUACAUCACAGAAGGUACUCUCCUAUAAAAAAGAAAGUAUCUUUUGUAUAAGUAUUAUAAAAUUAUCUAAGAAUAGAUUUGUUAUAUAUACUUAGUUUAAUGAUUUACAAAAAUGGGAGCAAAAAAAUGUACAUAAAUCUGAAAAAGACCUAAAAAGAGUAAGUAUAUUUUAUAAAGAUGAUAAGAUAGUAGGUGUAUAUAUGGAGAUAGAUUUAGAAGAUUUUAUGGAUGAACUUAUAAGAAUUGAGGAAGAGAAUGAAGAUCAAGUGGUGCAAAUAUAUUCAAGAGAAUUCUAUUCAACCAUAUGUGCAUUUCAAGAUUAUGAAGUUAAAGUUGAGGCUAGAUAUAAGACUAUGGAGAGAAAAAUAAAGCCUAUAGCUAUACCAUUGCCUAGUGACUUUAAUCACUAAGUUCAAUAGGCUUCAAAAGAGAAGAAUUUAAGAAAUCCUAAAUAUGUUGGCUACAAAUUUACAAAAACUAGACUCAAGGAAUUGAAAAUAAGAUUUACAAAUUUUUUUCUACUUAUAGUAGAAAAAGAGUUUAAAGACAUGUUAAAUAAACAUAGAACAGCUAUUACUUUUGAACCUUUGGAAAUUAGUUGUCUGGAUCUAAGUAUUGUAGUAUCAAUGAUUAUAUUCAUGGUGCCACAUGUUUCCUGGGAUUUAAGGCCAAUUUCAAUACUUAGGACUCAUUUAUCUAAGCUAAUAGAGCUUUUGAAAGAAAAGAUAUAGAUGAAGAUCCUAAAACCAUGAUUUGUACGAUAUUCUAGCCAUUGAUUUAUAAUACCAAAGAAAAAUAGGAUAUGAUGAUUUAUUCAAGAUAUGCAACUAGUAAAUCAAAUGACUAUUAGAAAUACAAGAGUUGGACCAUUUAUUGAUAAAAUUUGUAGAAGCAUUUACUGAUAGACCUAUUUACUAUAUUGGAGAUCUUUAUUCUAGAUAUGAUCAAUUCCAACUAACUAAAAGAAGUAGAAAUAUCACCAUUAUGAGGAGGCUUUUAUGAUUAGUAAAGAUGUGCAUAUUACCAUAGGAUGCAACAAACUCAAUUACUCACAUGAUAAAUGAAAUGAAUAAGGUUUUUUAAGAUUUUAUUUUAGAAAAGACUAUGCCUUUCUUAGAUGAUAUUCCAAUAAAAGGGUGUAUAGAAGAAGAAAAAAAAUAAAACAAUGGAUAAGAGGGGGUGCCAUUGUCGUAUUACGUACUAUCUUGCUUGAGAACACACCGGGCCUUUGGAGGUUGCACAAAAAUGCCGUUGUCGUACUGUAAUUACUUACAGUAUGUAAAAAUUAGUUAAGACAUAUAAUAUGUUUAUAAGUCUUAAUGUGGGUUAGAAUAGUUAGUAUGUUAAUUUAAAGUGAGUUGAAAUAAGAAGAAUUAUUUGAAAGGUUAUUUAUUUUGAUUAUAGUGUUUAUAUUAUAUAGAGUUUAGAUAGUUAGUAUAAAGCUUAAGGGAAAGGAGGAGUUUAAAGAUAAAAAUAUAAACUAUUAGGAGGCUUAUUGGGAAGGAAGAAAGUAAGGCAUGGUUGGAUGAAGGCAAGGGGUGAAGAUCUUCAUCCCUAUUGGUCGAAUACCAUGCCCAAUGGGCUUCAAGGAGGCUGCCCGAGGCCAUAUUAGGGAUUAGGGUUUCUCUUUCGAGGCCAUUCGAGCUUUUGAGGCUAGGGUUAGAAGGUUUAGGGUUUUGGAUAUAAUUUGGGUGAAGAUUUUGUGUGAUUUCGAGUUUUUAUGGAAAAGAUAUGAGUGUUCAAAGAUAAGGUGUCAAUUUUGUACCUACUGUCACUCUUUUGGGCAUCACAUACGCAUACGGAGAGCAACGGAAGAUCGGCGACUGGAUUCGGAGGUAAAAUUUUCUCGGCUACACUUUCUACUUACUGUAUAGUGAAUUCUAAGAUUGGAAGAAGGAGUUAUGAGGCGUUGAAGACAGCACUUGUAAUUUGAAGGUAGUAAGUAUAUCGUUUUGUUGCUAGUUAUGGGUGGAGCCAUAUCUUAAGUUUCUGGACGAAUUUGUGGCUCAAAAUUUCCACAAGUGUGUUUAAUUGGAUAAAAAAUCUAUAGAUCAAAGUUUCAUAGUAUUUGAGUAAUUACUUUGUGAGAUAUGAAGGAAGUUGUACACGGAUGUAAAAAAGCUAGGGUUUGAAGCUACUGUUAGGGUUUUCAAGAUAUCACAAGAUCCGAGACGAAUUUACAGUUGAAUUUUGGUGUGGUAGUUGUUAGAGGUAUAUCAGUACUCUAUGUGAAAUUUGGAGUUGUUAAGACGGUUAGAUCGUAAGUUAUGAGUUUUUGAACUUCGGGAAAAAUUCCUCAUAAGGAUAUAUAAGUUUUUUAUAACACUUUAUCAAGUAUUUUGGUGUUCUUUGCAUUUUAAGGCUUGUUUAUUGAUGUAAUUGUCCUAAAGGGGAGGAAUAUAUAUAUAUAAACUUGUUUCCAUUAUAUUUCAAACUUGAUUGAGUAUUUAGUGACAGCUAGAAGCCCAUCGCUUUCUUGAGGCAAACUCUCUCUACCCUUACACCGUUAAUCCAUACUGAUGUAUCUUGACCACCGCCUAGUAGAGAAUCUUGAGGACCUUGAUAAAUAGUACACUCCAAGUAGGUAUUUUUUCUUCAAUUGGCAUAAUUGGUUUUUGACCUAUCAUAAUUACAAAAAGCAUUUAUCUCAUUAUUCAGCUAUAAGUUGUUCGAUCAGCCCAUAAUGCAAAUAACAAAAGUCGUGGCUAUUUUCUAACCUUUCCAUUACAAGCUUUAACUAAUGCUUUCACAAUCGAUGGGUGAUCACGUUCACUUUUUGUAUUUCCUUCAAGAUUAUAAGCAAUUAUCAAUGAUAGUUUAAUUCCACAUCUUUCAAAGAAUUCACCAGCUUCUUGUGCAUUUAAUUCUCCACGAUUUGCAGUGAUUUUUUCUACACAUCCAUAGUGGCAAAUAAUAUCUUCAAGCAAAAAACUACAAAUUCUUUUUGUAGAUUUUAUUCUCAAUGCUCUUCCUUCUACUUGAUUUGAUAAAUCUUCACGUGCUAAGACCAAAUAUCUCAUUUGCCAUAACCCGAUUGGUAUAAUAACCAAAUCAACAAUCCAUUUAAAAUGAAUAUCUAGAGGGUAUAUACAAUGAAGACCAUCUCGAUGUCAUACAUUAGAAUACGCUUGACAAAUUUCACAUGAUUCUACAAAUAAGAACACAUCUCGAUACAUAUUUUUCCACCAAUAUUGUUCCUUAAGUUUAGCAAAAGUAGUCCAAAUUCCUCUAUGUCCUGUCCAUAAACUAUCUUGAAACCCCUUUAAUAAUUUUUGUUUCUCUUCUUUAUUGCCUAUCACUUUUUGUGGCAUUCCAAUUCCUUUUUUUGGUCUCUUUCAUAAGAAUCUUUCUUGAAGCAAAAAUUCAUAUACUUUUUUUCUUAUUUUUUUAAAUUUUUUUGUAGACCAAUUUUCAUGCUUAGUCAAGGUAUUCAAGUAAUGACCAAUAUCCAAUAAUUCUCUUUCAUAAGAUUCUUUAAGAAAUAGCUUGCCUUCUUUGUUAAGAUUUGAUACUCAAUAGAAUUUAGAUCCAUCGUCUUCAAUGUCUUCAAUCAUUUCGUCUUCUCUUUCAUAUCUUGUUCGAGAUAGCAUGUCUGCUACUAAAUUGUCGUUUCCAACACCAUGGCUAAAUUUUGGAUUUAAUGACUUAAUAUAAGUAAUCCAUCUUAACAUUGCAAUAUCCGACAUCAAAUAAUUAAUAAUCAUUCCAAGUAUUAGUAAGCCAUCUGUUUCAAUUAUUACUACUGUCCAAUCAAAUAAUCCCUUUCAGCUUUCAUAGCCAAAAUAACUUCCCAAAGUUCUCUUUUGAUUUGCGAGUAUGCACGUUAAUAAGUACUUAAAACUUUAGCUCCAAAUCGAACUGCAAAUAAAUUUCUACUUGAAUCAUCUUGACCCACAAUCCAUCCAAUAGCAAUAGGACUAGUAUCCACAGUAAGAAUUACUUGUCUAUUACAGUCACAAUCAAUUUUUCUUAAAAUUCGAGAUAUCACCAAUAACACCUAAAGCUUUUGCAUUACUUCAUUAUGCUUUCUUUUCUAUUUAAACCAAUAAUCCAUAUGUAAUUAUUCAUAUAAUGGAUUCGCUACAUGAGCAUAAUGAAGAAUCUAUAUAUGAUAAAAUACACAAGCUCCUAAAAACCUGCGUACUUUUGUUAAAGAAUCACAUAAAUCCUUCAUCCUUCCAAUUGCAUCAACUUUGCUUGGAUCUGAUUUUCUCCUAUAAAAUCUACACAAAUGUCCAACAAUAAGGACUUCCUACACUUGAAAUGUAGAUUUUGUUCCUAAAAGUGUAAGAUGAACGUCUUCAAGUUGAGUUAAAAUCUUUUCAAAAUCUUGUAUAUCAUCAACAACAUAUUUGUGACACCCCCUCUUAUCUAAAGUUUCAUCUUUUUCUCCUUCUUUGCAUCCUUUGAUAGGAACAUCAUCUAAAAAAGGCAUAGUUUUUUCAAGAAUAAAGUCUCUUAAUACCUUGUUCAUCUCAUUCAUCUUAUGUAUAACUAAGUUAGUAGCACACUAAGGAAGAGUAUACAUUUUAAGUAAUCCAAGUGGCGUUCUCAUUGUUGUUAGAUCUCUACUCCCAUGCACAAGCUGAAAUUGAUCAUAAUCCAAAUAUAAAUCAUCCAUUGAAUAAAUUGCCCUUCCCCCAAACGCUUCUGUAAACUCGUCUACUUAAGGUCCUAUACCUACAUUUCUUAUAGUUACUACAUUAAUUAGCUAUAUAUCUUGAAUAAAAUGUAACGAUCUAUUCUUCUUAGGCACCGUAAACCAAUGACUAGAAUAUGGAGCAAAAGAAGGCUCCAAAACUUUCAUAUGUAUCUUUUCUUUCAAUAAUUCCAUCAAUUUAGGUAAAUGUGCCCUAGGCACGAGAAUUGGCAUUAAGUUCCAAGGCACAUGAGGUACUGUAAAGAUAACCAUAAGAGCAACAACAUUAGGAUCUACACAUCCUAUUUCACGAGACCCAAAGAUAAAUGAUUUGCCUUGUUUUGCAAGUAUUUUUUUUAAAUAUUCAAUUUUUAUUGGAAAUAAGGAACCAUCACAUCCAAUCUUCAAUUCUUCAAAAGUCUCCUUUGUAAACCAAUGUCCAAUCUUCUUUAGAUCUCUUAAGCUCUCUUCUUUUGGAUGCUUCUUCCAUCUAUUCUUUAGAAUCUUCUAAUAAAGGUCCGACAAGAGGUUUUACCUUUUUAUCUACUGUUUUAUAUUUUGUCUCCACAAUAACUUCUAGUGCUUGAAAAGUUUCAAAUAUAGAAUAAACCUCCCUUGAAUGAAUUUCUACAAUCUUAUCAUUAUUUCCUAAUCUAAUACAUGUAAUUAAUUCUAAAGAAUCCUCCAAUCCAUUUUCUUCAUAAACACCUAAAAUCUUCUCAUCAUCUUCUAAUGUCCCUAACUUGCAUAAUUCCUUUUCAGUACUAUAUAAUCUUUUCCUUUCUUUUCUUUUAAAAUCAUCAACUUUCUUAUACAUAAUAUUUCCAUUCUCAAAAAUACCAAUAAAACUUGCAUCAAAGGUACCUUCAUCUCGCAAAAGUAUCUCCUCUUUUGUACCUCCAUAAUCUCGCUUUAUAGUGGUACUUCCCCAAAAUCCUUAAAUCCUUCAAGAAUCCUUGGCAAUGGUUUCUCCCUCAAUCUAUCUCGAUUCCGUUCAUGAUUAAGAGGUAUUGUCAAAAAUUAUACAGCUUUUUUUCUAUCUAUACUAUGUAUUCUUGCAUAAGCAAAACCAUCUUCAAGUACUUUUAUUUCCAUCUGUAUUGCCGUAAUAUAAGGUUGUUCUAAAAUCAAUGGAUAAGACGUUGUAUCUUGAAUAAAGAAAUAUUGUUCUAUCACAACAUCUCAAAUCCAAAUUUUGACAUCUGGACAAGCUCCAUAUAAUUCACUUCAUGUAUUAUUAGUUGCUCAUAUUGUCCAUCUAUGUUCCAUAUCAAUUGACCAUUUUUGCUUCUUAUAAAGACCUUUAGACAUAAGAUUUAUUUCAGAACCAUGGUCAACUAAAAUAACUAUUGGUUCUUCUAUAUCUCCUACUUUCACCAAUACUUCAGUAGUUGCCAUUGCCCAAUAUUUUUGAGUAUAAUGGCUUGAAGCUUCUAUUUCCUUAUCACUAUAAUCUUUGAAACAUACUUGUUGAUUAUAUCCAUUCUUUUCAUUUAUUGAUUGCUUGUAACCAUUAUCAACCUCUUCUUCAUCUUCUCCAUGAAAUAUUCGUCUUUUAAUGCAUGUGAAAAAAUCUUCCAUGAAAUUCCAUAAUGCUCUAUAAUUGAGGUAAUAUACUUUUUUAUCUCUCGUAUUGUGGCUAGUCCAAAUAAUUCAACCUUCUUUUUUUCAAAAAUCUGAUUUAAUUCUAUUUCCCGAACAUAACAUCUUAAAUACUUUGAAAUAUUCCUUCCAUCAAACUGGUCAAUUUUAUUAUCUCUUGCUUGCAAAGCUUUUGUUGCAAAUGCCUCCUUGCAAUCAUUACUUUGUUGUUGCUACAUAGAUAAUGAUAAUGCUUGAAACAUACUAGCAAUGGAUAGAUCCAUAUACAUAUCAUGUCAUCUAGAAGAAGCUCUACUUGAAGCUCUUCCCAAAGAUCCUUCAAAAUUUUUAUUCUUGUUCUCUAUAAAAUAAAAUAAAAAUAAACGAAAUCAAAUACUUUUCACCUCAAGCUUUCAUGUCGGGGUCACUACUUAUGUCAUAUUACGUGCUAUCUUGCUUGAGAAUGCACCAGGCGUCUGGUUGUGGAUGAUAAAAUAAUAUUUGCAAGUAUCUAGGUAGGCUAGUGGGUUUCAAAUAUCUAAAUACAUACUAUUUUGGAUUUCAAUGUAAAAGCUUAAUUCUAAUACAAAAUGCUUAGAAAUACUAUUUUUAAUAACUUCAAGAUAUAAUAAGUACAAAGUUUUUUUUUAUUUGUUAGUUUUUAAUUUUAAUUUUAUUUUAUUUUAUUUUAUUAUUUUAUUAUUUAUUUUUAUUUUUAUUUUUAUUUUAUUUUGUUUUUGAUCCUAACUCUACACAGCGAGCUUCAACAAGCUAUAAUUCUCAAUCUGACCGUCCGAUUGUUGUAAAUUUCUACCACUAGUGUCUUUGCAAGCCUUCUAAACGUUCAAGAAGUUUCAAUCCAAUCUAACUUACAGGUUGCAAGAAAAUGUCGUUAAUCCACACUAAUGUAUCUUGAUUGCCAUCUAGAAGUCCUCGACUUAUUACACCAAAAGUCACCUUAUUCAAGCUGGUAGAUCUUCAAAUAUUACAGAAAUCCUAAACAACCCCAAUCUGCUAACUUCUAAUACCUUUUUACACUAAUAGUCAAAUAUCUUCUAGUUGUUUCAUCGAAUUAACACAACUUUUUGCAUGUACUCGGCAUACUCAACUCUCUAGACAUGUCUAAUAUUCAAUAUCAAAGUUUCUCAAAUUUCAUAAAACAAUAAAGAGUACCAGCCUUAACUUUAUUGCAAAAAUCUAAAUCAUCAAUACAACAUUGACUUACAGCAAUGAUUACAAAAGUUCUUUCAACCCCAUGAAAUCCAUUACUACACCUUUGGAAGGAGCUUCAAAGAUUGGCAUUAAGAUUGGAGAAGGAGGCCGACCAAUAUCUGACCACAUUUUUGAAGUUAUCAUCAAUUUGGUAACUCCGAUCCUUUUCAAUUUUUUUGUGCUUAUUAUUAACUUAUUUGUUUAGAAGUUUGCAAAAUUUGAGUUAAGAUCAACGAUUUAUUCAUAAGUUAUUGAGGUUUAAAUCUGUUAUAGGAAUUACUAGGGUUUGCUUUAGGGUUUGGUUAGGAUUUGGUUUAGGAUUUGAUUUAGGAUUUAGAUUUUGGUUUAGGAUUUGAUUGGGGUUUAUUUAGGAUUUAGGAUUUGGUUAGGAUUUGGUUUAGGGUUUAAGGUUUGGAUUAGGAUUUGAUUUAGGAUUUAGUUAGGAUUUGAUUUAGAAUUUAAUUAGGAUUUGAUUUAGGGUUUAAGAUUUGGUUUAGGAUUUGGUUAGGAUUUUUUUUAGGAUUUAGUUGAGGUUUGGUUUAAGGUUUGUUUAGAAUUUGAUUCAAGAUUUAGGAUUUUAUUAGGAUUUAAGAUUCAAUUAGUUUUGGCCUAAAGUUUUAAUGAAGUUCAAUAAGAUUUUAACUAGAAUUAUAUUAAGAUUGAAUUGAGAUGUAUUUGAGUGAUACUUGUGAUCCUUCUAAUAUUUCUUUAAGAAUUCUUAUUGUUUGUUUGAAAUUUCUUUGAGGUUUUUUUGAAUUUGAUUAAGCUUUUUUACCAUUAUUAUGGUCUAAUUAGAGUAUUAUUAGUAUUUUAUUAAAAUUAGGAUUUUGUUAUUAAAAUUUCUAUCCUUCUUUCCACAGCCAGGUGCCUAGAGCAUUCUCAAGAAAGACUUCACGUAUUAUGAAAAUGAUACCUAAGAAAAAUGCAUCGUUUCAUUUUAUUUAAGAUAUUUAGCCAAUAAAUGCAGUAACUAUAAGAAAUGCAGGUAUAGGACCUUUAGUAGAUGAAUUUGCAGAAGCGUUUGUGGAAGGAUAAUUUAUUCAAUGGAUGAUUUAUAUUUGGGUUAUGAUCAAUUUCAACUUGCGCAUGGGACUAGAGAUCUAACAACAAUGAGAAUGCCACUUGGAUUACUUAAAAUGUGUACUCUUCCUUAGAGUGCUACUAACUCAAUUGCACAUAAGAUGAAUGGGAUGAACAAGGUAUUAAGAGACUUCAUUUCUCAUAAAACUAUAUCUUUUUUAAAUGAUGUUCCUAACAAGGGAUGUAAAGGACGAAAAAAAGAUGAAACUUUAGAUGAGAGGAGGUGUCGCAAAUAUGUUGUUGAUCAUAUACAAGAUUGUGAAAAGAUUUUAAUUCGACUUGAAGAGGUUCAUCUUACACUUUCAGGAGCAAAAUCUACAUUUGGAGUGCAAGAAGUUCUUAUUGUUGGGUAUUUGUAUGGAUUUUAUAAGAGAAAGCUAGAUCCAAGCAAAGUUGAUGCAAUUGGAAGGAUGAAGGAUUCAUAUGACUCUUUAACAAAAGUACGUAGGUUUUUAGGAGCUUGUGUAUUUUAUUGUAUAUGGAUUCCUCAUUGUGCACAUGUAGCAAAUCCAUUGUAUGAAUUAUUAUGUAAGGAUUAUCGAUUUAAAUGGGAAAGAAAGUAUAUGAAAGCAAUGCAGAAGCUAAAGGUGUUAUUGGUGACACCUCCAAUUUUAAGAAAAAUUGAUUGUGACUGUAAUAGAUAAAUAAUUCUUAUUGUGGAUACGAGUCUUACUAUUAUUAGAUGGACUGUGGAUCAAGAUGAUUGAAGUAGAAAUAGAUUUGCAGUUCGAUUUGGAGCUAAAGUUUUAAGUACUCAUCAAUGUAAAUAUUUGCAAAUCAAAAUAGAACUUUGGGAAGUUAUUUCAGCUAUGAAAGUUGAAAGGGAUUAUUUGAUUAAGGCAGUAGUAGUAAUUGAAACAGAUGGCUUACCAAUACUUGGAAUGAUUAUUAAUUAUUCGACGCUAGAUAUUGCAAUGUUAAGAUGGAUUACUUAUAUUAAGUCAUUAAAUCCAAAAUUUAAGCAUGUUGCUGGAAACGACAAUUUAAUAGCAGACAUGCUAUCUCGAACAAGAUAUGAAAGAGAAGAUGAAAUGGUUGAAGACAUUGAGGAUGUUGGAUCUAAAUUCUAUUUAAUAUCAAAUCUUAACAAAGAAGGCAAGCUAUUUUUUAAAGAAUCUUAUGAAAGAGAAUUAUCGGAUAUUGGUCAUUACUUGAAUACCUUGACUAAGGAUGAAAAUUGGUCUACAAAAAAAUUUAAAAAAAUAAGAAAAAAAGUAUAUGAAUUUUUGCUUCAAGAAAGAUUCUUAUGAAAGAGACCAAAAAAAGGAAUUGGAAUGCCACAAAAAGUGAUAGGCAAUAAAGAAGAGAAACAAAAAUUAUUAAAGGGGUUUCAAGAUAGUUUAUGGACAGGACAUAGAGGAAUUUGGACUACUUUUGCUAAACGAAAGGAACGAUAUUGGUAGAAAAAUAUGUAUCGAGAUGUGCUCUUAUUUGUAGAAUCAUGUGAAAUUUGUCAAGCGUAUUCUAAUAUACAACAUCGAGAUGGUCUUCCUUGUACAUACCGUCUAGCUUUUCAUUUUAAAUAGGUUGUUGAUUUGAUUAUUAUAUCAAUCAGAUUAUGGCAAAUGAGAUAUUUGGUCUUAGCACGUUGUCAUGUUAUAACACGAGUAUAUCGUGAAAAUAUAAAGAAAGGAAACUUUUAUUAAUGUUUAGUUACCUCGAAUAUUGGGAGCAAUGAUCAAUUCCAGUGCAAAUACUGAGAGGCCAGGUUCAGUCACCCUAUUACAGUCAGCUAGGGCAUACUGAAAUGCUCCGUUUGUUUCCAAUAACGGGAGUUAGCAGAAAGAGAAAGGACCAAUUCAACGACGAGUGAGCCUCGUUCGAAGAGUCAAUUGGAUCCAAUUUCAAGACAUCCAAUCCAAGUCCUAUUACGAGCCUCUUAUCCAAUAUGAGACCUGAUUUGGUCGAGCAACCCAAUGCGGUCUAAUUACGGGAACAUCCAGGUCUUACUAUGGGCCUCUUAGCCAAUAUGAGACUUGAAUUGGUCAGGCGACUCAAUCUAGUCCCGAUUACGGGGCUCCGAUUCCGUUUCAGGCUGUUUCGUUCUUUGUGCUGUUGUCGUGUUGUAACACGAGUAUACCAUGAAAAUAUAAAGAAAGAGGGCUUUUAUUAAUGUUUAGUUACCUCGAAUAUUGGGAGCAACGACCAAUUCCAGUACAAAUACUGAGAGGCCAGAUUCAGUCACUCCAUUACAAUCAGCCAGGGCAUACUGAAAUGCUCCGUUCGAUUCCAAUAACGGGAGUCAGCAGAAAGAGAAAGGAUCAAUUCAACGAAAAGGAAAAGGACCAAUUCAAUGACGGGUGAGCUUGGUUCAAAGAGCCAAUUGGAUCCAAUUUUAAGACAUCCAAUCUAGGCCUUACUACGGGCCUCUUAAUCAAUCUGACAAGAAGGACCAAUUGGACCCAGUUAUAGGAACAUCCAAGUCUAACUACGGGACUCUUAUCCAAUAUGAGACUUGACUUGGUCGGGCAACCCAAUGCGGUCCAAUUACGGGAACAUCUAGAUCUUACUACGGGCUUUUUAGCCAAUAUGAGACCUGAAUUGGUCGAGCGACUCAAUGUGGUCCCGAUUACGGGGGUUCCGAUUCCAUUUCAGGUUGUUCCAUACUUAAUGCCAUUCUGAGAACGUCCUUUUGAUAAAAGAAUCUUUUAAAGGUAAAAACGGAAGAGAAAGCUGUGACGGCGAAGCCAGUUCCAGAUCUAAGACGGAAGAUUGAAGAAAUUCAGAGGCUAGGGUUUGAAAGAGGGGAGAAUUAGGGUUAAAGGAGAUGAUAGGUUAAGAAAUGAGGGAGGAGAGAAUAAGUUUUUUUGAAGGGUCGAAGUACUAGCUUCAUGCUUCGGGCGGGGAAAAAAGAUAGAGAAUUGGGGUUUUUUUUUUCAUAGGGUUUUGGGAAGACUUAGGCAAUCGUUGCUGAAGUCCGUGUUGUACUCGUGAAUCGAGAUUUUUAAUGAAGUGGGUGUGAUUACUCUUGACUAUUUUGUGAAAUUGAAGUUACGUCUGUGAUUGAAGAAUUAAAAGGGUGUCUAUAGGAUUGAGUAUGCAGAGUGAAUGAAAAAUUUUGGAUUAAUCUAAUAAGACAGUCAGUGGAUACGAGGUCGUGAGUAUAAAGCGGUAUCAAAGAUUAGUAGAUCAGAUUGUUCGAGGCUCUCUAUAACGUCUAGAGACCUACCGGCUAGUGUACAAAAGAUUUCAACGAGUAGUCAAAGAACAUCCAUAUAGAUUUACGGUAUAUUCUUGUAAUCAUUUGUAUUCCAACAGCCAAAAACUAAUAAACUGCUUGAAUAUUAGUAAAUCUCCAUACUACCUUCUACAGCCAAACGCCCAACGCGUUCUCAAGCAGAAAAGCAUGUAAUAUGACAAAAGUGGUGAAUCCGAUGUCAAAGCUUUAAGUGGAAGGUAUUGGAUUUCGUUUGAUUUUAUUUUUAUUUUUAUAGAGAACGAAAAUAAAAAAUUUGAAGGAUCUUUGGAAGGAGUUUCUGGUAGGGAUUCUUCUAAAAGACAAGGUAUGCACAUGGAUCCGUCUAUUGCUAGUAUGUUUCAAGCCUUCUCAUUAUCAAUGCAGCAACAACAAAGCAAUGAUCGAAAGGAAGCUUUGGCAACCAAAGCAUUGCAAGUAGUGGUCAAUAAAAUUGAUCAAUUUGAUGGGAGGAAUAUUUCAAGGUAUUUAAGGUGCUAUGUUCGUGAAAUGGAAUUAAAUCGGGUUUCUGAGAAGAAAAUGGUUGAAUUAUUUGGACUUGCCACGAUACCGGAGAUAAGAAACCACAUUACAUCGAUUACGGAUCGUUAUGGGAAUUCAUGGGAGGUUUUUUUACAUGCAUUGAAAAACGAAUAUUUCUUGGAAGAUGUUGAUCACAUUACUAAGAAGCUGUUUUUGGAAUGGAUUGAACGGCCUAAUAAGAAUUUGCAAGCAACAGAGCUACUAAGAGAAUUUGAGAGGCAGUACUCUCAAUUGUCGAAGGUAGAAAAAUUGACAUUCGAGUCGAACAAAGUUGAUCUAUUUCUUCAAGCUGCUGAUGGAGAUUUGCAAGGGAAAUUAGAACUCCUUCUUGAAGAUAAAGAAGAAGAUAAAGGAUUGACAACAAAGUGGAAGAACAUUGAAGAUGCGGUGGGGUUGCUUACAAAAAGAGAAAGGAGGAAGGAUAGGAGCAAUAUUCCGAAAACAGUACAAGCACCCAAAGUUCCAAUACGUACAACACCACCAACAAUGCCUACAAUUCAACCUUCGACAUCCUUAUCAAAGAAAAUAGAUAUGGAGAUGGAAGAAAUUAUAUGAGGAAUGCGAGAUCUUCAAAUCAAAUUGACAAGACUUGAAGAGAAUAUUUCUACAAACAAUUUGAAGAAUGUUUCAAAACAAGGAUUUGUACAAAGAUGCAUUUGGUGUGAUGAUGCUUCACACACUAGGAAAGAUUGUAAUGAAUUUAAUAAUAUGAUACGACAAGGAAUUAUUUGCUGAAAAGAUGGAAAGAUAGCAUUGAAAGAUAGGGAGGAUCUUCUUCAAACCAAUUUUGACAAGGGAAGAAUGAAAGCAUUGGUUCAAGAUUACUUAAAAGAACAUGAAACAGCAGCACGAGAAGGUACAAGUUAUGGUACAAGAGUAGAUGAUAAUCUUGGUGGAAGUACAAAAACUAGUGAGUUUUGGGCUUCUGCCAUUUCUACAAUGCAAGAAGGGAAAUUACCUCGAGAAGCGUUAUUGAGGACUGCAGCUAUAAUAUGAGGUGCACCAGGUUGGAAGGAUCCUAUUGAGUCUCUUUCAGUUCAUGCAUAUAUUGCUAAGAGCCAACAUGAAGCUUUGAUGGAAGAAAAGAGAUGAGGAAAUUUUGAUGAUACGAGAGAAGAAAAUUUUUGUAAGAUGCAAACUCGAGGAGACAAGGCUCAGGAGGCAACUUCACAAGAAUUACCUAUAAAGGAUACCUCAGCAUCAUUGGAAGAAAAAACAAGGGAGACAAAAGAUAAUGGCAAAUCAAUUGCUUAUGAGCUACUUUCUGACAUUGAAGCAGCAAAAAAAUUGAAAGGGGUGUUGGAAGAACGUAUAUUAAAUGCUAAGGUGGAAUUCACAUUGAAAGAAGUCUUGAGAAUUGCAAAGAAGGAGUUUCAUGAUGUUAUCAUUGACAACAUUAAGCAAAAGAGGCAAUUAAUGGAUGAAAUUGGAAUGAGUCAUGCUAUUGAUGCAAGAAUAUAUAAAGAUGAAGAAGUGGUUGAUAUUGGUUACAAGCAACCAACAAAUGAAAAGAAUGGGUAUAAUCAACGAGUACGUUUUGAAGAUUAUAGUGAUAAGGAAAUAGAAACUUUGAAUCAUUAUUCUCGAAAGCAUUGGACAAGGGCAACUACUGAGGUAUUGGUGAAAGUAGGAGAUAUAGAAGAACCAAUUGUUGCUUUAGUCGACCAUGGUUCUGAAAUAAAUCUCAUGACUAAAGAUCUUUAUAAAGAGCAAAAAUGGCCAAUUGAUAUGGAACAUGGAUGGGCAAUACGAGCAGCUAAUAAUACAUGGAGCGAAUUAUAUGGAGCUUGUCUAGAUGUCAAAAUUCGGAUUGGGGAUGUUGCGACGGAGCAACAUUUCUUUGUUCAAGAUACAACGUCUUAUCCAUUGAUUUUAGGACAACCUCAUAUUACGACAACACGGAUGGAAACAAAAGUACUUGACGAUGGUUUUGCUUAUGCAAGGAUACAUAGCGAAGAUGGGAGCAAAGUUGUACAAUUUCUAAUAGUACCUCCUAAUCAUGAACAAAAUCGAGAUAGGUUGAGGGAGAAACCAUUGCCAAAGAUUAUUGAAGGAUUUAAGGAUUUUGGGGAAGUACCACUGUAAAGCGAGAUUAUGGAGGUACAAAAGAGGAGGUACUCUCGCGAGAUGAAGGUGCCUUUGAUGGGAGUUUUAUUAGUAUUUUGGAGAAUAGAAAUAUUAUGUAUAAGAAAGUUGAUGAUUUUAAAAGAAAAGAAAGAAAAAGAUUAUAUGAUAUUGAAGGAGAAUUACGCAAGUUAGGUAUGUAGCAAGAAGAUGAAAGUGAUUUGGAUAAUGAAGGUGACGAAGAUGAACUGGGCAAAGACCUUGAGAAUAUAUUAUAAAUCAAACAGUAAUUGGAUGAAUUGGUGCAUAUCGAAGGAUGCACAGGUUCAGAGGGGGUGGAUGUCGUGUUGUAAUACGAGUAUAUCGUGAAAAUAUAAAGAAAGAGGACUUUUAUUAAUGUUCAGUUACCUCGAAUAUUGGGUGCAAUGACUAAUUCUAGUGCAAAUACUGAGAGGCUAGGUUCAGUCACCCCGUUAUAGUCAGUCGAGGCAUACUAAAAUGCUCCAUUCAAUUCCAAUAACAGGAGUCAGCAAUAAGGAAAAAGACCAAUUCAACGAUGGGUGAGCCUGGUUCGAAGAGCCAAUUGGAUCCAAUUUCAAUACAUCCAAUCCAGGUCCUAUGACGGGCCUCUUACCCAAUAUGAGACCUGAUUUGGUCGGGCAAUCCAAUGCGGUCCAAUUAUGGGAACAUCCAAGUCUUACUACAGGCCUUUUAGCCAAUAUGAGAGCUGAAUUGGUCGGGCGACUCAAUGUGUUCCCAAUUACGGGGCUCCAAUUUUGUUUCAGGUUGUUCCGUCCUUUAAGCCGUUCCGGUAACGUCCUUGCGAUAAAAGGAUCUCUUAAAGGUAAAAACGGAGGAGAAAGCUCUAACGGCGGAACCAAUUUUGGAUCCAAGAUGGAAGAUUGAAGAAAUUCAGAGGCUAGGGUUUGAAAGAGGGGAGAAUUAGGGUUAAAAAGGAGGAUAGGUUAAGAAAUGAAGGGGAGAGAAAAGGAUUUUUAAGGGUCGGAGAGCUAGCUUCAUGCUUGAAGCUAGGAAAAAAGACAGAGAAUUGGGGUUUUUUUUCAUAGGGUUUUGGGAAGACUAAGGUAAUUGUUGCUGAAUAGUUGAUGUGUUGUAAUGGUGAAUUGGGGUUUUAAUGAAGUAGGUGUGAUUACUCUUGACUAUUUUGUGAAAUCGAAGUUACGUCUGUGAUUGAAGAAUUAAAAGGGUGUCUAUAGGAUUGAGUAUGCGGAGUGAAUGAAAUUUAUUGGGUUAAUCUAAUAAGACAGUCAGUGGAUAUAAGGUCGUGAGUAUAAAGCGGUAUCGAAGAUUAGCAGAUUGGAUUGUUCGGGGUUCUCUGUAACAUCUAAAGACCUAUCGGCUGGGACAAAAAGGAUUUCAGUGAGCAGUCGAAGGACAUCCGUAUUUAUUUACGAUAUAUUCUUACAAUCGUUUGUAUUCCAACAGUCAAAAAUCGAUAGACUGCUUGAAUAUUAGCGAAUCUCCAUACUACCUUCUUCAGCCAGACGCCCGGUGCAUUCUUGAGCAAGAAAGCACGUAAUACAACAAUGUGAAGAUUUAUCAAAUUAAGUAGAAGGAAGAGCAUUGAGAAUAAAAUCUACAAAAAGAAUUUAUAGAUUUUUGCUUGAAGAUAUUAUUUGCCACUAUGGAUGUCUAGAAAAAAUCAUUGCAGAUCACAGAGAAUUAAAUGCAUAUGAAGCUCGUGAAUUCUUUGAAAGAUGUGGAAUUAAACUAUCACUGACAAUUGCUUAUAAUCCUGAAGGAAAUGCAAAAAGUGAGCAUAAUCACCCACCGAUUGUGAAAACAUUAAUUAAAGCUUGUAAUGGGAAGGUUAGAGAAUGGCCACGACUUUUGUCAUUUGUAUUAUGGACUGAUCAAACAACUCAUAGCUUAGUAACGAGAUAUAUGCCUAUUGAGCUUAUAACAUGUCAAAAAUCAAUUAUGCCAAUUGAAGAAAAAGUACCUACUUGGAGUGUACUACCAUGGGAAGAUGGAUUGACAAGAGAAGAACUUCUAGGUAUUAGAAUUCAAUAACUAGAACAAAGAUUAGAAGAUGUGCAAAUAGCAUUAGAAAGGUUAAAAAGACCAAGGUUACAAAAUAAGAUACGAUUUGAUCAACAGCAUCGAUUGAGGCCUAAAAGAAAUUGAAGAAGGUGAUUGGAUUUUGGUCUAUGUUAGUAGCUUGGAAAAUCAACAUAGUACUUUAAGGAAGUUUUUUAAACAAUGGUUUGGACCGUAUGUAGUAACAACUAUUCAUGAUAAUAUAACUUAUUCAUUGCGGGAGUUAGAUCCAACAAGAUUAAAAAUAUCAAUUGCAGGGAAGCGAGUAAAAAUAUUUAAACAAAGAUACACAAAAAUAAAUAUAAAAGACUUUGGUGAAGAUAUAUGUAUUCCUCAACAGGAAGAUGAAUUUGAUAUGGAUAGCAAAAAUGAUGAAGAAAAUUUAGACAAAGACCUAAAGAACGUAUUAUGAAUCAAACAAUAACUUGAUUAUUUGGUAUAUACUAGAGGAUGCACAGGUUCAAAGGGGGUGGAUGUCGUGUUAUAACACAACUAUAUGAUGAAAAUAUAAAUAAAAAAGAUAUUAUUAAUAUUUAGUCAUCUUGGAUGUUAGGAACAUUAGCCAAUUCCAGUGCCAAUAUUCAGUGUGAGUUAGUGUCUUCCCACCAGCGUCAUCGAAUCAAGUAUCCUCCAUACUAAUGGGACAACCAAGAUCAUCUUCCAACCCUACAUGGAACAAGCCUAGUAGGUAUAUAUCGGUGGAGACACCCAAUAUGCAUGAUGGGGGUACAAGAAGACCACUUCAUCUUUUCCCUUGCAAAUAGGUUGGUCAUUAUGCUAGUGAAUGUUCCAAUCGCAAAGCUAGUGAUGAUUACGCGUUGUCGUAAUAUGUGAAGUCUUGCUUGAGAAUGCUCUGGGUACCUGGCUAUAGAAGGAAGAAUAGAAAUUGUGAUAACAAAAUCGUAAAUAGAAUACUAACAAUGUUCUAAUUAAACUAUAAUAAUGGUAAACAAACGUAAUCAAAUUCAAAAUAACUCAAAGAAAUUUCAAACAAACAAUAAAAUUCUUAAAGAAAUAUUAGAAUGAUCACAAAUUUUACUCAAAUAUAUGUCAAUUCAAUCUUAAUUUAAUUCUAGUUAAAACCCUAUUAAAUUUUAAUCAACUUUAGAACAAAUCUAAUUAAAUCUUAAACCCUAAUAAUUCCUAAAUCUUAACUCAAAUCCUAAAUAAAUCUUAAAUUAAACCCUAUUCUAAACCCUAAAUCCUAAAUCAAACCCUAAUCCAACUCUAAAUCCUAAAUCAAACCCUAAUCCAACUCUAAAUCCUAAACCAAACCUUAAAUCAAAUCCUAACCAAAUCCUAAUCCAAAUCCUAAAUCAAACCCUAAUCAAAUCCUAAAUCCUAAUCCAAACCCUAAUCAAACCCUAAACUCUAAUCCAAAUCCUAAACCCUAAAUCAAACCUUAAAUCAAAUUCUAAUCCAAAUCCUAAAUCAAACCCUAACCAAACUCUAAACCCUAAUUCAAACCUUGAUCCAAACCCUAAUCCAAACCCUAAACCAAACCAUAGCCAAACCCUAAUCCAAAUCUUAGUAAUUCCUAUGAGAGAUUUAAACCUCAAUAUAUAAUGAAUAAACCGUUGAUCUCAAUUCAAAAUUUUCACACUUCUUAAAAAUCAAGUUCAAAUCAAGCAAAAAAAAUUUGAAAAGGAUCGGAGUUACCAAAUUGACGAAUACCUCAAAAAUGUGUUUGGGUGUUAGCCGGCAUCCUUCUAGAGCCAAUUUCUCUUCUUUGCGCCGUUCGAUUGGUUUCAAAUUUCUCAUGGACAUAGGAAAACAAGUCUUAUAUUCUCUCACAUAAGUUUUACUCCAAUCCAACUAGUAGAUUGCAUGAAAUCUUAAAAACCCUCACUAGACUUAAAAUUCUACUUUCUGAGACCUUGACUCACUUAAACCUCAAUAUCUCUCAGUUCAACUGUUAGAUCAAGCUCAAAUUUACAACAUAUAUUCAAAACAACUAUAACCAUGAACCAAAAAAAAAUUCAUCCAUAGAUCAGCAACAAAACUCUCGAAAUCACUCAAAACAUAAACCCUAUUUUAUUUCAUAAAACCCAAGUCAUCCGAAAAAAACCUCAACUUUGCAAAGCUCUUACAAGUUCAUAUCAACUCCAAAUCACCCAAAAUUAACGCCUAUAGAAACCCUAUCCAAUCUUC
rnacentral:lncRNA from 1 species